rnacentral:hammerhead_ribozyme from 1 species
AUCCAGCUGACGAGUCCCAAAUAGAAAAAAAACGCACGUCCUGGAU